CUGAAUCACACUGGCCUCCUCCCCUCCCCCCCUCCCCCCUGCUUCACGGGGAGCUCAUCAGCCCUCUGACAAAAGGCCCGCGAACGGCUGGCGCCACUCGUGUGGCUGCUCUUGUGGAAUGCACAUAGCUGGGUAAGCGCUAAUAAUAGCCGGAGAGGAAACCGAGGUGGCAGCUUAAUCCGGGGCCCAGGCACUCAUUGGCUCUGCUAACUCAAUGGUGACAUGUUCAAAUCUCUUCCCCUGUCCUGUGCUCCGAUGGGCCAUUGUGCUGCCAUCACUGCCUUGAUCCCAUCUGUUCUAGCGGAGGUCAACAAGGCUACGUUCAGCCCCAAGCCCGGGCAGCAUUCUUGGCAGUCUGUCCAGGUCCAGCACCUUCACAGCUGCUACUUGGAGACCUUUUGUCCCUGCGGUGGCUAGGAAAUAUGUGGAAGGCAGAGGGGUGGGUUAGGAGGAAGGUCAGAGGCCAACUAGACAGACUGAAUGGUUCGCCUUUCCUGAGCAGGCUGGGUUGAAAGUCUGUCCCUCUGGGAUGAGCGGAGAACACCGUCCAGCUUCCAGUGGUGCAAAAGGCAGAUUGUCCGUAGCUGGGGCGAGUACAGGCAGCUUCUGUUCAUCCCUCUCAGUGGCUAAAAAAGUGCAUCUUCAGCUUUUUCAGCUUUGCCUGCCUGCUUGCAACCAGGGCACAGGAUAAAAAACAUUACAGGGCUCCGGGCUGAGUUUUCCAGCAUGAGGAAAAAAGGGUGGAUGUGUUGGCAGGGAUGAGAGAUCUGUUUCUAGUGAAGCCAUGGUCAAAAAAGGAUCCAGAACAAUGAUGCUGGGAGGCUUUUCAAUUAUCCUUUCUUGCUCCUGGAACAUAUUUUUGCUUCACUUACAAACGCCAUCGUUUUACCUAACAUUCAAUGCUGCAAAGUGUGGUUGGGAUCUGCUUUUCAAGCUCCCUUCUUUCUAAGGAUCAGCCAGCCUCAUGGGAUAGUUCAGUGUUGUCAGCUCCAGACAUUAAAAAAUGAUGACUCCAGUUUCAGAAAAUCAUAACAGUGGCUUAAAAUGAUGGGAUUUAAAGAAAAAAUAACCCAUGCCGUGUUUUCUAAUUUGCCUUCUGGGUUUUCGACCCUUUGGAAUGCAGUCAAGUCACAGUUUCAUGCUUUUGUUUUACAGCAAAACAGGUUAGAAGUGCGCCCAUUUAGAAAUGAGCCUUUAUCAUAGAGUCAUAGAAAAUGAUGGUUGAAAGGACCUCAGGAGGUCACAUCUAGUCCACCCCCCUGCUCAAAGCAGGACCAGCCCCAACUACAUCAUCCCAGCCAGGAACUUGCAUGACUGCUAUAAAUGGGACACUAAGGGAAUCUUUAGUAAUCAUUUAGUGUGGAUUGGUAACACUGUUUUCAGCUUGCAAAUGCAUACAGUUUAGGACAGUCGCCUUGAUGUGUUUGUACGGCAUGUGCCCAAUCUCAGUUUGGGCUAACUAGGCUCAGUCAUACACACAAACAGCUGACAAUGCAAGGUUUAAAUCUGCUCGUCUUCUCCGGAGGUGUUUGCCCAGCAGAUGUGGCAGCCGCGAGAACCACAUUGAAGCACAGGGCUAACACCUGAAAUGUGGAACGUGGCUCUGACUUUAAAGUGCGAGAAUGGAGUGAAAUGCCCACCCAGCCAAUAAAGGGCAGCAAUGUUAAAAGGAAAUUCGGUUUUAAAAUACACUUCAUUUUUAGUGAGUUACUUGUGAAACGAGUAUAUGUCUAGGGCCAAGAUUUUCAAAGGGGACAUGAUGGAGGUUCGACUUGUAAAAAUUAGGACCCCAUAAAAUGUCUCGGGUUGGGUGCCCCCGCAUUGAAACACGGGACAUCACGAGCCACUUGUGAAAGAUUACCUUUAAUCCGAUAGUUCUCUGCAGGUGACACCUCACAAUUUAAUACCACUGCAGACAGAGCUUGGACAGAUACCAGGGCCACUCUGAGGCACUGGGCUGUUAUUUUUAGUCAUUGCAAAAACACAGGCUGGGUGGAAUGUGCAGACUCUAUUUUGGUGCAAAAAUGCAAGGAAGGUUUCCCAAGGAACAGCUGUCGGUGGCACUGCCGGGUGGAGGAGGAGGCUUCCUGUAAAGGGUGGUGGAAGAGACUGUGAACACCCCCAGGGAAACCUCCCAAGCAUUUCGCCAUAUUAUUGGGCUGGACGAAGCAGGAUGCAGAUUUAGCUGCAGACUCACAGUCGGGUCCCGCUUUAUACUCAGCUUCUCCUUAUAGAAAGGUUUAAUAAUGGUUCACCGAUAUUCUCCCAGAGGGCUAAUAAGUUUUUAGAGAGUUUGACAGGCUGCUUAUAACCGUGGCCUGUACUUACCUCUGCCACUUUCUUCUGAUCACUUUAUAACCCUCUCUCACUUGUAUUGCUGUGUUUGUAGCACUCGUGCAAUGGCUCUUCAUUCAGGCUUUAUAAAUGGAAUUGUAAUCUACAGCGUGAUUGCAAGUGAGCCAUAUGGAUGUCAUUUGAACGGUCCCUUUUGCGCUGUGUUUCCUGCCUUAUUUGUCACUUCAAUGCCUAACCCACUAACUGUUAGUCUCGCGCUUCCCUCCUUAGAAAAGAUCAAAGCUUUGUUGUGCCAGGGGCUGUACAUACAGAUGAAGAGAUUCAAUCCCUGCCCAUAGGACUCACCAUCUCAGUAGAUGAGGCAGCGGGUGAGGGAAAGGGGUAUUAUCCCCAUCGUCAAGAAGGGGAACUGAGGGGCAGAUUAAGUGAUUCCCCCAAGGUCAAACAGGCAGUCUGUGACAGGGCAGGCAGCUGACACCAGGUCAGGGUCAAUUCAGGAUCAGUCUGGCUGUGGGGAAUGAGCUUUGUUUAGAAGGGACUUUCAUCCUACUGCAUUCACAGCUUUCCCUUGGAUGGUGCCUUGGUGAACUCAAGCUGAGCAAAGACCUGAUUUCCUAUAUUUGCUUCGAUGCUGUUGACUGUAUAAUUUAGCCAAGUGGGGAAUUCUGCCGUGCUAUCGCUGACCAUCACCAACCAGGGAAUUCACAACCAAUUGUUUCAUGGCUUCCUCUUGCUUACUAUGAACAGGGUGGUGGUAAAUUCUAACAUAGAUUAUGUAAAGCUCUUAAUGAAUCAAGGCUAAGAGAUCUUACUUCUUCUUUGGAAAACCCUGUUGGAAGAAAAAGCCCAGUAACCUCCUAAAAAAGCAACCACUAGCAUUUCCCAUUCAAUCUGAAGAAGUGUUGGCUCCUUCAAACAGAGUGAAUGGAUCUCAGAGGUGCAGAAAAGAAGGGUUGACUUUUUAAGAGUCUCUUUUAAAGAGAAGAAGGAAAAAUACUGUGUUUUCCUGUCAAGAGUGUAAGAGCCCAAGGCACAAGCUGUCAUUUCAGGGUCCAGACCCAAACUUUUCUGCCGUUCAGAGGAAGUGUUAGUAUGCAGCUUUGGACAACAGAGUUAUUUUUGUUGCACCAUUUCCAGCGCGCACACUGAAACCUGAUGAGGAUGAUUCCUGCACCCAACAUUAUUCAUUGCACUAGGCGCUGCACAUGGAAGACAUGAUUUCCAGCCCAACAAGAAUCAGUGUCAAGGGUAUUCUGCAUUAUGAGGAGGCUGAUGCAGAAAGUGGUUGAGACUAAAGGUGCAUACACACCGCUCAGCUGCUACCUAUCCAGAAUGGAUUUGCCCUUUUUAAAAGGCAGCUGCUCUCAAUGUAGUUUUGAGAGCACCUGGCUGGAAAAACACUAAGAAACAUCUUCUGUGAAACCCAGCUCUGAGUGAGGAAAGAAAGAGACCCUGCUUCAUGCCAGGCUUCUCGCACAGACUGAGACUACAAAGUGCUCAAACUUCAGCCUUUUCUACAGGGUGCUGCUGUUCCCUCACCUCGGAGUGAGCAUCUGCUGUCACAAAGAGAUACAGAAGAUCAUCACUUAUCUGAACCCCGUGGUAACAGCCCCAGUUCAUAUCUGUAAAAUGUGCAGCUAUACGAGACAUCUAUAAUUGAUGAAGGCACCAAAAAGAGAAACAUAAAAGAAA